rnacentral:SRP_RNA from 1 species
GCUGGGCGUGGUAGCCCACGCCUGUAAUCCUAGCUACUUGGGAGGCUGAGGCAGGAGAAUCGCUUGAGCCCAGGAGGUGGAGGUUGCAGUGAGCCGAGAUCACGCCACUGCAUUCCAACCUGAGCAACAGCAAGUGAGACCCUGUCUCAA